AACGAACGCUGGCGGCAGGCUUAACACAUGCAAGUCGAACGGGUGUAGCAAUACAUCAGUGGCAGACGGGUGAGUAACACGUGGGAACCUUCCUUAAGGUACGGGACAACUCAGGGAAACUUGAGCUAAUACCGUAUACGUCCGAGAGGAGAAAGAUUUAUCGCCUUUAGACGGGCCCGCGUCGGAUUAGCUAGUUGGUGGGUAACGGCCGUACCAAGGCGACGAUCCGUAGCUGAUCUGAGAGGAUGAUCAGCCACACUGGGACUGAGACACGGCCCAGACUCCUACGGGAGGCAGCAGUGGGGAAGUCUUGGACAAUGGGCGGCAAGCCUGAUCCAGCCAUGCCGCGUGAGUGAAGAAGGCCUUAGGGUUGUAAAGCUCUUUUACCAGGGACGAUAAUGACGGUACCUGGAGAAUAAG
rnacentral:rRNA from 1 species